rnacentral:misc_RNA from 1 species
GUAGGUGAACCUGCGGAAGGAUCAUUAUUGUAGGCGCCUUCGGGCCCGCUAAAUCAAUAACCCUUGUCUUUUUUUGUGCACCCUUUGUUUCCUCGGCAGCUUCGCCUGCCAACGAGGACCCCCUAAAAACCUUUUGCAAUCCUAGUAUAACCUUCAGAAAACAAACAAUAUUAAAACUUUCAACAAUGGAUCUCUUGGCUCUG